rnacentral:rRNA from 1 species
GAUGAACGCUGGCGGCGUGCCUAACACAUGCAAGUCGAACGAUGAAGCCGGAGCUUGCUCCGGUGGAUUAGUGGCGAACGGGUGAGUAACACGUGAGCAAUCUGCCCUUGACUCUGGGAUAACUGCGGGAAACUGUAGCUAAUACCGGAUACGACACCUUGGGGCAUCCCAGGGUGUGGAAAGAAUUUCGGUCAAGGAUGAGCUCGCGGCCUAUCAGCUAGUUGGUGAGGUAAUGGCUCACCAAGGCGACGACGGGUAGCCGGCCUGAGAGGGUGACCGGCCACACUGGAACUGAGACACGGUCCAGACUCCUACGGGAGGCAGCAGUGGGGAAUAUUGCACAAUGGGCGAAAGCCAGAUGCAGCAACGCCGCGUGAGGGAUGAAGGCCUUCGGGUUGUAAACCUCUUUUAGCAGGGAAGAAGCGAAAGUGACGGUACCUGCAGAAAAAGCACCGGCUAACUACGUGCCAGCCGCCGCAGUAA